rnacentral:lncRNA from 1 species
UCCGCGGGUAUCUUUGCUCAAACUUGGUUGCUCAGCGAAUCAGUACGCCAGGAUGUGGAUUGGAGAGGGACCUGACGACUCAACAAAGUUAGAUAUUUCACUGUCAGAAUGACGUAUUUAACUAGUUGCUGCCCAAGGAUGCUCUCCUACAGGGACUGCUCCACUGCUCUCCCACUGAGACACCCUGUGCCUGCCUCUUUGUUCAGCUACCUGCAAUGACCCGACCUCUAUGUUCAACUGUACAUAAUAAACUAUACAAAGUCAACCA